GACGAACGCUUGCGGCGUGCUUAACACAUGCAAGUCGAACGGAAAGGCCCUGCUUUUGUGGGGUGCUCGAGUGGCGAACGGGUGAGUAACACGUGAGUAACCUGCCCUUGACUUUGGGAUAACUUCAGGAAACUGGGGCUAAUACCGGAUAGGAGCUCCUGCUGCAUGGUGGGGGUCGGAAAGUUUCGGCGGUUGGGGAUGGACUCGCGGCUUAUCAGCUUGUUGGUGGGGUAGUGGCUUACCAAGGCUUUGACGGGUAGCCGGCCUGAGAGGGUGACCGGCCACAUUGGGACUGAGAUACGGCCCAGACUCCUACGGGAGGCAGCAGUGGGGAAUAUUGCACAAUGGGCGGAAGCCUGAUGCAGCAACGCCGCGUGCGGGAUGACGGCCUUCGGGUUGUAAACCGCUUUCGCCUGUGACGAAGCGUGAGUGACGGUAAUGGGUAAAGAAGCACCGGCUAACUACGUGCCAGCAGCCGCGGUGAUACGUAGGGUGCGAGCGUUGUCCGGAUUUAUUGGGCGUAAAGGGCUCGUAGGUGGUUGAUCGCGUCGGAAGUGUAAUCUUGGGGCUUAACCCUGAGCGUGCUUUCGAUACGGGUUGACUUGAGGAAGGUAGGGGAGAAUGGAAUUCCUGGUGGAGCGGUGGAAUGCGCAGAUAUCAGGAGGAACACCAGUGGCGAAGGCGGUUCUCUGGGCCUUUCCUGACGCUGAGGAGCGAAAGCGUGGGGAGCGAACAGGCUUAGAUACCCUGGUAGUCCACGCUGUAAACGGUGGGUACUAGGUGUGGGGUCCAUUCCACGGGUUCCGUGCCGUAGCUAACGCUUUAAGUACCCCGCCUGGGGAGUACGGCCGCAAGGCUAAAACUCAAAGGAAUUGACGGGGCCCCGCACAAGCGGCGGAGCAUGCGGAUUAAUUCGAUGCAACGCGUAGAACCUUACCUGGGUUUGACAUGGAUCGGGAGUGCUCAGAGAUGGGUGUGCCUCUUUUGGGGUCGGUUCACAGGUGGUGCAUGGCUGUCGUCAGCUCGUGUCGUGAGAUGUUGGGUUAAGUCCCGCAACGAGCGCAACCCUUGUUCACUGUUGCCAGCACGUUAUGGUGGGGACUCAGUGGAGACCGCCGGGGUCAACUCGGAGGAAGGUGGGGAUGACGUCAAGUCAUCAUGCCCCUUAUGUCCAGGGCUUCACGCAUGCUACAAUGGCUGGUACAGAGAGUGGCGAGCCUGUGAGGGUGAGCGAAUCUCGGAAAGCCGGUCUCAGUUCGGAUUGGGGUCUGCAACUCGACCUCAUGAAGUCGGAGUCGCUAGUAAUCGCAGAUCAGCAACGCUGCGGUGAAUACGUUCCCGGG
rnacentral:rRNA from 1 species